GGGGCGGAGGCACCGGGUGGAGAGCGACCUAACAGGUGCGACUGCGAGCUGAUUGGCGUUCCCUGUGUCGCCAAAGCCAGCGCCAGGGCCUGGCUGGUGGAGACGCGUGGCCAAGUGCCACAGACUAGCGGCCGGGCCCAAGACCCAGCUAUGGUGCUAUUUCAUGUCCUUCUGCAAAGCCAGCUGUGUCCCAGUCUCAGAGAAUAAACUGGAGGCUCCAAGCCUGCCCACUCCAGGGUUCCCUGCAUCUGAAAUGUUUCCUCGGGGCCUAGUCUACUGUUUCAGUCUCCCAGGCCAGUCGGCUUUCCUUGAUAUUGAAAUUUAGGCUCAGAAAAGUUGCCUGUUCAAGCUCUCAGCUGAUACGUCAGAAGCCAAGGUGCAGGUAAUUUAGUUCAAGGAGGACUGCACAGAACACAAAAGAACACCUAGAUGGGGGAGGAAGUGGACGGU